UGACCUUCCUGCGAACUUGCCCCAGCUGGUGAUUGUUCUUAUCAAAGGGGCAGUGAGAGGCGUGAUAAGAGGCAUGCCCCUCUAUUGGUUUCCCUGGUAACUAAUGAGCCCACCUGAUGUCAAUUCCCCUAUAACUGGUAAUUCCCCUCACAGGGAGCGAAGACUGCUGCCAUGUCCUGCCCGUCGUCCACCACACACAGUGGGCUGUCGCUCCAGGACCCUGCUUCAGACGUGCUCUUUCUACAGUCUUGAAGCUGGGCAAGCACAGGCCUUGUAGGCCUGUGGGGUGCAGCCCAAUAACCACCAACAAACACAUCUUAUAGAAAGUAGCAGAGAAAACAGGCUGGUAGGAUUCACUGGAUGGUUACUCUGGAAACCAAUGACCUUAUCCUCUCUCUCCUCCAAUAUUAAGAACAAAG